CUUUAGUCCAGCCCCCUAGUAUAUAAGGGGCUCUCUUUCCUCUCUUGAGACCUGGACCUAAAAGCAAGCACAAAGUCCUGUACUAUCCAAGUUCAUGUCAGCUAGGCCAAAGCCUAAAGACCAGCAGCCAACUAGGAUCAGAAUGCGCUGACAUAGUGAGGAGCCAUCUGGAUAUCAAGUUCUGCUGAGUGAACAUUUAGCUGAAACAAGUCCUGGUGAGGAUCAGACUCCGCUGACAUAGUGAGGAGCCAAUGGCAUCUGGGCGUCAAGUUCUACUGAGAGAAGAUUUAGC